rnacentral:rRNA from 1 species
UACGAAGGGGACUAGCGUUGUUCGGAAUCACUGGGCGUAAAGCGCACGUAGGCGGAUUCGUAAGUUAGGGGUGAAAUCCCGGGGCUCAACCUCGGAACUGCCUUUGAUACUGCGGGUCUCGAGUCCGAUAGAGGUGGGUGGAAUUCCUAGUGUAGAGGUGAAAUUCGUAGAUAUUAGGAAGAACACCGGUGGCGAAGGCGGCCCACUGGAUCGGCACUGACGCUGAGGUGCGAAAGCGUGGGGGAGCAAACAGG